GAUGAACGCUGGCGGCGUGCCUAAUACAUGCAAGUCGAGCGAACAGACGAGGAGCUUGCUCCUCUGACGUUAGCGGCGGACGGGUGAGUAACACGUGGAUAACCUACCUAUAAGACUGGGAUAACUUCGGGAAACCGGAUCUAAUACCGGAUAAUAUAUUGAACCGCAUGGUUCAAUAGUGAAAGACGGUUUUGCUGUCACUUAUAGAUGGAUCCGCGCCGCAUUAGCUAGUUGGUAAGGUAACGGCUUACCAAGGCAACGAUGCGUAGCCGACCUGAGAGGGUGAUCGGCCACACUGGAACUGAGACACGGUCCAGACUCCUACGGGAGGCAGCAGCAGGGAAUCUUCCGCAAUGGGCGAAAGCCUGACGGAGCAACGCCGCGUGAGUGAUGAAGGUCUUCGGAUCGUAAAACUCUGUUAUUAGGGAAGAACAAAUGUGUAAGUAACUAUGCACGUCUUGACGGUACCUAAUCAGAAAGCCACGGCUAACUACGUG
rnacentral:rRNA from 1 species